GGGACAGUAGGUUGGUCGUGCCACCGGUACGUACUGGUCUCACUGAUUCCUUCUUCCUGAAGAACCGUAAUGCCAUUAAUUUGGUGUUGCGGGGAAACAGGACUGUUACUUUGAAAAAAUUAGAGUGUUUAAAGCAAGCUAACGCUUGAAUACAUUAGCAUGGAUUAAUGAAAUAGGACGAUCGAUCCUAUUUUGUUGGUUUCUAGGAUUGACGUA
rnacentral:rRNA from 1 species